rnacentral:rRNA from 1 species
UACGGAGGAUGCGAGUGUUAUCCGGAAUCACUGGGCGUAAAGCGUGCGCAGGCGGUUGUGCAAGACCGAUGUGAAAUCCCCGGGCUUAACCUGGGAAUGGCAUUGGUGACUGUACGGCUAGAGUGUGUCAGAGGGGGGUAGAAUUCCACGUGUAGCAGUGAAAUGCGUAGAGAUGUGGAGGAAUACCGAUGGCGAAGGCAGCCCCCUGGGAUGACACUGACGCUCAUGCACGAAAGCGUGGGGAGCAAACAGG